GAAACAUUAGUAUAUAUCUAGUAUUUUUUUCUUUCACAAAAGAGGACCUUGUUUUG
rnacentral:tRNA from 1 species